GGUUAAGCGACUAAGCGUACACGGUGGAUGCCCUGGCAGUCAGAGGCGAUGAAGGACGUGCUAAUCUGCGAUAAGCGUCGGUAAGGUGAUAUGAACCGUUAUAACCGGCGAUUUCCGAAUGGGGAAACCCAGUGUGAUUCGUCACACUAUCAUUAACUGAAUCCAUAGGUUAAUGAGGCGAACCGGGGGAACUGAAACAUCUAAGUACCCCGAGGAAAAGAAAUCAACCGAGAUUCCCCCAGUAGCGGCGAGCGAACGGGGAGCAGCCCAGAGCCUGAAUCAGUGUGUGUGUUAGUGGAAGCGUCUGGAAAGGCGUGCGAUACAGGGUGACAGCCCCGUACACAAAAAUGCACAUAUUGUGAGCUCGAUGAGUAGGGCGGGACACGUGGUAUCCUGUCUGAAUAUGGGGGGACCAUCCUCCAAGGCUAAAUACUCCUGACUGACCGAUAGUGAACCAGUACCGUGAGGGAAAGGCGAAAAGAACCCCGGCGAGGGGAGUGAAAAAGAACCUGAAACCGUGUACGUACAAGCAGUGGGAGCACGCUUAGGCGUGUGACUGCGUACCUUUUGUAUAAUGGGUCAGCGACUUAUAUUCUGUAGCAAGGUUAACCGAAUAGGGGAGCCGAAGGGAAACCGAGUCUUAACUGGGCGUUAAGUUGCAGGGUAUAGACCCGAAACCCGGUGAUCUAGCCAUGGGCAGGUUGAAGGUUGGGUAACACUAACUGGAGGACCGAACCGACUAAUGUUGAAAAAUUAGCGGAUGACUUGUGGCUGGGGGUGAAAGGCCAAUCAAACCGGGAGAUAGCUGGUUCUCCCCGAAAGCUAUUUAGGUAGCGCCUCGUGAAUUCAUCUCCGGGGGUAGAGCACUGUUUCGGCAAGGGGGUCAUCCCGACUUACCAACCCGAUGCAAACUGCGAAUACCGGAGAAUGUUAUCACGGGAGACACACGGCGGGUGCUAACGUCCGUCGUGAAGAGGGAAACAACCCAGACCGCCAGCUAAGGUCCCAAAGUCAUGGUUAAGUGGGAAACGAUGUGGGAAGGCCCAGACAGCCAGGAUGUUGGCUUAGAAGCAGCCAUCAUUUAAAGAAAGCGUAAUAGCUCACUGGUCGAGUCGGCCUGCGCGGAAGAUGUAACGGGGCUAAACCAUGCACCGAAGCUGCGGCAGCGACGCUGAUGCGUUGUUGGGUAGGGGAGCGUUCUGUAAGCCUGCGAAGGUGUGCUGUGAGGCAUGCUGGAGGUAUCAGAAGUGCGAAUGCUGACAUAAGUAACGAUAAAGCGGGUGAAAAGCCCGCUCGCCGGAAGACCAAGGGUUCCUGUCCAACGUUAAUCGGGGCAGGGUGAGUCGACCCCUAAGGCGAGGCCGAAAGGCGUAGUCGAUGGGAAACAGGUUAAUAUUCCUGUACUUGGUGUUACUGCGAAGGGGGGACGGAGAAGGCUAUGUUGGCCGGGCGACGGUUGUCCCGGUUUAAGCGUGUAGGCUGGUUUUCCAGGCAAAUCCGGAAAAUCAAGGCUGAGGCGUGAUGACGAGGCACUACGGUGCUGAAGCAACAAAUGCCCUGCUUCCAGGAAAAGCCUCUAAGCAUCAGGUAACAUCAAAUCGUACCCCAAACCGACACAGGUGGUCAGGUAGAGAAUACCAAGGCGCUUGAGAGAACUCGGGUGAAGGAACUAGGCAAAAUGGUGCCGUAACUUCGGGAGAAGGCACGCUGAUAUGUAGGUGAAGUCCCUCGCGGAUGGAGCUGAAAUCAGUCGAAGAUACCAGCUGGCUGCAACUGUUUAUUAAAAACACAGCACUGUGCAAACACGAAAGUGGACGUAUACGGUGUGACGCCUGCCCGGUGCCGGAAGGUUAAUUGAUGGGGUCAGCGCAAGCGAAGCUCUUGAUCGAAGCCCCGGUAAACGGCGGCCGUAACUAUAACGGUCCUAAGGUAGCGAAAUUCCUUGUCGGGUAAGUUCCGACCUGCACGAAUGGCGUAAUGAUGGCCAGGCUGUCUCCACCCGAGACUCAGUGAAAUUGAACUCGCUGUGAAGAUGCAGUGUACCCGCGGCAAGACGGAAAGACCCCGUGAACCUUUACUAUAGCUUGACACUGAACAUUGAGCCUUGAUGUGUAGGAUAGGUGGGAGGCUUUGAAGUGUGGACGCCAGUCUGCAUGGAGCCGACCUUGAAAUACCACCCUUUAAUGUUUGAUGUUCUAACGUUGACCCGUAAUCCGGGUUGCGGACAGUGUCUGGUGGGUAGUUUGACUGGGGCGGUCUCCUCCUAAAGAGUAACGGAGGAGCACGAAGGUUGGCUAAUCCUGGUCGGACAUCAGGAGGUUAGUGCAAUGGCAUAAGCCAGCUUGACUGCGAGCGUGACGGCGCGAGCAGGUGCGAAAGCAGGUCAUAGUGAUCCGGUGGUUCUGAAUGGAAGGGCCAUCGCUCAACGGAUAAAAGGUACUCCGGGGAUAACAGGCUGAUACCGCCCAAGAGUUCAUAUCGACGGCGGUGUUUGGCACCUCGAUGUCGGCUCAUCACAUCCUGGGGCUGAAGUAGGUCCCAAGGGUAUGGCUGUUCGCCAUUUAAAGUGGUACGCGAGCUGGGUUUAGAACGUCGUGAGACAGUUCGGUCCCUAUCUGCCGUGGGCGCUGGAGAACUGAGGGGGGCUGCUCCUAGUACGAGAGGACCGGAGUGGACGCAUCACUGGUGUUCGGGUUGUCAUGCCAAUGGCACUGCCCGGUAGCUAAAUGCGGAAGAGAUAAGUGCUGAAAGCAUCUAAGCACGAAACUUGCCCCGAGAUGAGUUCUCCCUGACUCCUUGAGAGUCCUGAAGGAACGUUGAAGACGACGACGUUGAUAGGCCGGGUGUGUAAGCGCAGCGAUGCGUUGAGCUAACCGGUACUAAUGAACCGUGAGGCUUAACCUU
rnacentral:rRNA from 1 species